rnacentral:rRNA from 1 species
AUGUGAUCGUCUCUCGCAUAUCAAUAAGCGGAGGAAAAGAAACUAACAAGGAUUCCCCUAGUAACGGCGAGUGAAGCGGGAAGAGCUCAAAUUUGAAAUCUUAAAGGGUUUCCCUUUACGAAUUGUAGUUUAAAGAAGUGUUUUCUGUUGAGGUUUUGGUAAAAGUUCUUUGGAAUAGGACAUCAUAGAGGGUGAGAAUCCCGUAUUUGACCUUUACUUUCAACUUUGUGAUACACUUUCAAAGAGUCGGAUUGUUUGGGAAUGCAGUCCAAAAUGGGUGGUAAAUUUCAUCUAAAGCUAAAUAUUGGCGAGAGACCGAUAGCGAACAAGUACCGUGAGGGAAAGAUGAAAAGAACUUUGAAAAGAGAGUUAAACAGUACGUGAAAUUGUCAAAAGGGAAGCGUUUGACACCAGUGUUGUUUUUCUGAAAAUCAAUUAAAGAACUGUUUAUGCUAAGCUGUUUAGACUUUAUCAGCUAUCUGCUUAGUUUUGAGCUUUUCUUUAAUGCACUUUUCAGUUAACAAGUCAACAUCAAUUUCUUUUGCUGUAAAAAAGCUUGAGGAAGGUGGCUUGAGAUUCGUCUUAAGUGUUUAUAGCCUCUUGCCUAUGCAGUCGGAGAGAUUGAGGUCUGCAGCGUAGAUCCUUCGGGGCUAAAUGCAUUUGUGCUAAGUUAUAGCACUUUAUAGACAACUUGUUGACUAUGAUUUGUCUUGUAGCUUACUCGCUUAUGUUAUUUUACCUACGCUUAGGAUGUUGAUCUACAGAGCGAGAGU